rnacentral:rRNA from 1 species
UGAGGAAUUUUCCGCAAUGGGCGCAAGCCUGACGGAGCGACGCCGCGUGAGGGAUGAAGGCUUUCGGGUUGUAAACCUCUUUUGUUUGGGAAAAAGGUCCGCGUGCUCAUACCACGUGGAUUUGAUAGUACUAAGCGAAUAAGCCCCGGCUAACUACGUGCCAGCAGCCGCGGUAAUACGUAGGGGGCGAGCGUUGUCCGGAAUUACUGGGCGUAAAGGGCGUGUAGGCUGUUGGGUAAGUCUGGUGUGAAAUGCUACGGCUCAACCGUGGCACUGCGCUGGAAACUGCCUGACUGGAGUGGAAGAGGGGUCACUGGAAUCCCCGGUGUAACGGUGAAAUGUGUAGAUAUCGGGGGGAACACCUGUGGCGAAGGCGGGUGACUGGCCUGCAACUGACGCUGAGACGCGAAAGCGUGGGGAGCAAACAG